UUCAUGGAUCUUUUGAGAUCCAUACAUCUUUUGAAAUGCAUGAUUU
rfam:Anopheles arabiensis strain DONG5_A unplaced genomic scaffold supercont1.8, whole genome shotgun sequence.